rnacentral:pre_miRNA from 1 species
CAAAGAAUUCUCCUUUUGGGCUUUCUGAUGUUAUUUUAAGCCCAAAGGUGAAUUUUUUGGG